rnacentral:rRNA from 1 species
UGCAAGUCGAACGAAGUAGUAAUACUUAGUGGCAGACGGGUGAGUAACAUGUAGGUAUCUGCCCUUUGGCCUGGAAUAACACGAGGAAACUUGUGCUAAUACCGGAUAAGUCUUUACGGAGAAAGCUUCAUGCACCAUUGGAUGAGCCUGCACUUGAUUAGUUUGUUGGUGGGGUAAUGGCCUACCAAGACUGUGAUCAAUAGCUGAUUUGAGAGGAUGAUCAGCCACAUUGGGACUGAGACACGGCCCAAACUCCUACGGGAGGCAGCAGUGGGGAAUCUUGCACAAUGGAGGAAACUCUGAUGCAGCGAUGCCGCGUGAGUGAAGAAGGCCUUUGGGUUGUAAAGCUCUUUCGUCGGGGAAGAAAAUGACUGUACCCGAAUAAGAAGGUCCGGCUAACUUCGUGCCAGCAGCCGCGGUAAUACGAAGGGACCUAGCGUAGUUCGGAAUUACUGGGCUUAAAGAGUUCGUAGGUGGUUGAAAAAGUUGGUGGUGAAAUCCCAGAGCUUAACUCUGGAACUGCCAUCAAAACUUUUCAGCUAGAGUAUGAUAGAGGAAAGCAGAAUUUCUAGUGUAGAGGUGAAAUUCGUAGAUAUUAGAAAGAAUACCAAUUGCGAAGGCAGCUUUCUGGAUCAUUACUGACACUGAGGAACGAAAGCAUGGGUAGCGAAGGGGAUUAGAUACCCUCGUAGUCCAUGCCGUAAACGAUGUGUGUUAGACGUUGGAAAUUUAUUU